rnacentral:hammerhead_ribozyme from 1 species
ACACAAUUGACGAGUCCCAAAUAGGACGAAACUCGCGUCCUAGAU